UUCUGAUUAUUGUUCUUCCCUAGGGUGAAGUUUUGGGCCUGUGGAACUCUUAAAGAUUUACACUGCCAAGGGGAAAAUUGCAACUCGAGCACCCUCCUACUUCCUGCCCUGGCCUGUGUGCAUGGUCUGCAGAGGCCUACAACCACCAAGACCUGACCCCAGGCAGCAUGGCCUACCUAGACCAAGUCUCCAGAAGCAUCUGGAAGCCAGGAACCUGCACACAGACUGCACACAUGUACAUAGAGACUCCAGGAAUGUCCAGAAGCCAGGCACAUGGCUGGUAAGGAAUAGAUCCAUCCUGCUGCAGCCUGAGGCUUGGAAACCAACCUAGAAAAUACAAGAAUUCAUCUUGGGAACUUGGUCUUCCUCUGUGCCUUGGGUCACAUAAGGUUGAUUUUCACCAUGGACUACAACCCAGAGCACUGACCAGUAGGUGCAUUUAUUACACUC
rnacentral:lncRNA from 1 species